GAUGAAUGCUGGCGGCGUGCCUAACACAUGCAAGUCGAGCGGCAGCGCGAGUAGUUUACUACUUGGCGGCGAGCGGCGGACGGCUGAGUAACGCGUGGGAACGUGCCCCAAAGUGAGGGAUAACGCACCGAAAGGUGUGCUAAUACCGCAUAUGGUCUUCGGAUUAAAGAAUUUAUUCGCUUUGGGAGCGGCCCGCGUCGGAUUAGGUAGUUGGUAGGGUAAUGGCCUACCAAGCCGACGAUCCGUAGCUGGUCUGAGAGGAUGAUCAGCCAGACUGGAACUGAGACACGGUCCAGACUCCUACGGGAGGCAGCAGUGAGGAAUCUUCCACAAUGGGCGAAAGCCUGAUGGAGCAACGCCGCGUGCAGGAUGAAGGCCUUCGGGUUGUAAACUGCUUUUAUUUGGGAAGAUUAUGACGGUACCAAAUGAAUAAGGAUCGGCUAACUACGUGCCAGCCGCCGCAGUAA
rnacentral:rRNA from 1 species